rnacentral:rRNA from 1 species
UACGUAGGGCGCAAGCGUUGUCCGGAUUCACUGGGUGUAAAGGGUGCGUAGGCGGGAAGGUAAGUCCGCGGUGAAAUCUCACAGCUCAACUGUGAAACUGCCGUUGAUACUGCUUUUCUUGAGUUCGGGAGAGGUUGAUGGAAUUCCAGGUGUAGCGGUGAAAUGCGUAGAUAUCUGGAAAAACACCAGUGGCGAAGGCGGUCAACUGGCCCGUAACUGACGCUGAGGCACGAAAGCGUGGGGAGCGAACAGG